CUGGGAUCAAAGAAAGGCAUGUGCCACCACCGCCCAGCCUAAAAUAAAUUUUCAAAAUGCUGUGUCAUCUGACUGAAGAGUUGUUCCUAGCAGUUCAGUGCCCUCCCUGAGCCCUGGAGCCUGUUAUACUCAGCUAAGUAUGUGGAGAGCAGCUUUUGAAGGUGGGCAUGGCGUGUGUGCCCAACUCUGGAUCACUCACCGUCUUGACUACGCUCAUACACAUAGCUUGUGUGGACUAACUGUUGCCACAGACACGUGAGGGAAUCCGUGGUGAGUGUCCCCUCUGGUGCUCCACCCCAUGUCGUCCCUGAAACUGUUCCUAACACGUGCAGAUGCAUUAGCUUUUGGUGACAAAGGCUGUCUUCUUUUUUGUCCACGGACGCUGGGGAGUAAGUCAAGGAAUCUUCAGAGCCCUGGGGCACAGCACAAGGCAGGAAGCAACUUCUGCAGAGCCCCGGAGAGGAGACAUGCCUUCCUGGUUACUGUCAGGCACCCUGGUGCACCGGACUCCCCCUGUUGUAUAAUCGACUGUCACCUCAGCGAUUCUCAACAUCAGGCUUCCCAAUACCAGAUUGAACAUUAAACAAACAGUGACUGCUUUAUAAAUAUUUAACUCCCACUGUUUAGGAAUUGCUUGGGGCAGGAGACAAAAUAAGAGUUCCUGACUGUCUACCGACCGCAUGACUCUCUGUCGUGGUGUUGGACAGUGGGGGUCAGAGCUGGGGGCGGAUAGCUCAGAGGCAGCGGUACAGCUUCCCGUGUUUGGGGGUGUGUGCCCGGGGACGUGUGUGUUUGCACUCAUCAAACUGUUUAAAUCUAUUCUAGAGUCAGCAUCCCAUCCAGCUGGGACCUGCAUUUUCUGGUGUUAUUGCUAUAGUCCAGUGACAGCUGUCUUUAUUCUCGCUUCCUUUUACCCUUCUCUCUUUCUUCCCUCCCCACCCCAGCCUCCUCCAACCAUGGAGGAUUGAACCUAAGGCCUGGAAAAGCAAGACAACCACUCUAUUGUAGAUCCCCGGCCCCUUCAUUUUAAAAUAUGGCAGUUUUAUUGAGAUAUAAGUCACACACUGCCCAAUCCUUCCAUACAAUAGUAUGACCUUUGGGGACAGUAACACUCUAGUUGAAAGAUGAAGACAUGGCUGACCUAGUCUUGUGUGAUGAAGGCAAAGCUGACUUCACAAGGAAGACCCUCUGCCACGCCGGAAAGAUCUAGAAGGUCAUACUUAGGCAUGUGGUGGAUGUAAGUUCUCUUCAGUGGAUAAACCGUGAGCUUUACUUAGUGCUAACUGUGUGCCGAGCAAGGCCGGGUUCAUCUGCAGUGUUAUAUAAUCCCGCUGAAGGAUGGCCUCCCAGAGGCUGCUCUGUUUUAGACUUGUUUGGAUGGGAGACUAGGAGAUGUCAGGGUCCUUGGCUGAUGAAUUUUGUUUAGGAGAGAAGCAUGAGGAGGUGUGGCUUCUUGUCCUCCUCACCGCCCGCAGGCCACUGCAUGGCCUAGUUCUCUUCUUGCCUGUGUGCUGGUGACCCCCUGGGCACUGGUUCCUUGGCACCCACAGAGAGACAGGCCGAAUCUAUAGGGAAGCUCAAGAGUUGACCCUAGUGCCUCCCUAUCACCUCAGUCACUUAGCUUCACCAAGGUGCUUCAGAGCAAGGUGCUGUGAAGGCCUGCACCAGAUGCCCGUGCUGGGCAGCACACUACGCCCAGAUGCCAAAAUUCCCGGCAUCCGUCCUCUGGAGAGAUAAGUUUUGUUUGGGAAAUUGCAUAUCAGAGCUGACUCAGGACCAAGAAGGCUGUGCCUUCCUACCCACCCACUCCAUCCCAUCCCAGAGCGGGCCUCCCUGCUCCUCAGCUUCCAGCACUCCUGCAGACAGAGUCCCCCUUCUCGGUCCCAUCGGAUGACUGUGUCUGGAGAUCUCUGACCUCCUGCCCUUCUCACUCCUAGGCCAGAGAGCUUCCUGGGUUGCCCUGAGCUGGCAUGAGAAGAUGCUGGGAUCGACUUGGCUGGGUUGAAACGAGAGGCUCCGGAGACAGGCAGGCUGCUCCAUCCCUCCCUAAGCCGUAAACCACGCUCCACCAUCUUGCCUCCGUGCCAUUAAAGAACGGUGAAGCUGAGGCUGCUGUCACGUCACCUUUGACUUAGAUGGCUGACUUUCUUCCAGGAAACUUUCCCCGUCACAUCUCUCACUGUGUAACCGUGCAGAGGGAAAAAGACGAAUGAAGGUAGACCGCGAGGGUUUGUCACGAGGAAAUACCUGACAGCUCACAUGAGGGAGAUAGGCUGCGAUGGAAAGGCCUGAUAAAUCUAGACGAAGCGAGGUCACAGAGCUCAUGAAGGGUGCUGGAACAGGACCAGAAAGAAGGAGUCUGGAGAGUGUGGGGACCAGAGGUGACGGAAUCUGGACAGUUAGGAAAGCUUGAGUGGUGAUUGACAGAUGUCAGUCACACAGUAGGGUUAGGGUUAGGUUUUACCUCGAAGUACACUCCCAGGGUCCUCGAGGUGGAAAUCUACACUUGGCACACUCGGGUAGCAUCAGGUCAGGUUCUCUGCUGACGUGGCAUGGGGAAAAAGUGAUUUGUCCCACACCCCUGGAAUUUCUAAAACUUUCUAACUUUGUUCUAUAGCUUAAUAAAUAAAAUAAAACCAAUCAAUUGGAA